GUCGCGUCCUUGCUCAAGACGAACGCGCUGGACAGCAUUUUCACGUUGUCAACAAACUGCUCACUCAUAUUUCUGAACAGACAAGACAAGACAAGACAGUUCUCAUGGCCUCAAACACCAAACUGCAGAUUAUGAACUGGACGGAGGAACAUGAUUCCAUUUUUUGCCGAGAAAUAAUCUUUGUAAACCCAUUCAGUGCUAAGAAGAAAUCCGUUCGGCGAAGUGCCCUUUUUCGAACUGAUCAAAAAUAAAUAUUUCCUAUUAAGCAAUAUAAUCUCACAAAAUUACCUAUGGUUAUCUCUAACUGAUAGUGUGAUUGAAACAAACUUCAGCAGCAGCUUACAGAAUAUUACUGAGGCAUUUGCCUUCGAACGCUUCCUAUCAAAAUUAUGUAUACCAAAAGUGAAGAAUAUAUCCAUCAUCAUAACAACAUGGAGGUGAAUAAACUGUUUCAAUACAUACUGCUUCUACUUAAUAGUAGCAAAACGAAUAACAAAAAAAAAAC